UGUUUGAUAUAAUGUCUUUUCUGUUUGCAGAUAUUAAUCAGAUUAACGUUAGCUCCCUCAUGUUCAGUCACUGCAUUAUAUCUGUCACCUCCGCUGAGGUUUUGCUUUUCAUUGCUUUCUAUAUUAAAUACUAAACUAGGGUGAUUAAACACUGUCACGUGACGUGCAAUAUAUUGCACAAUAUAUAUAACAUAUUCAUAUCAGGUUCAAAGUAGUACAAGUGUAGUUUCAAAAUGGUAUUUGUAGUAGAAGCACGGUAAAAAACAACACUUACCAUGCUUUUUACCACAGUAUUGGUAGUUUUAAUGUGAUUUUUGUUGUAAAUACAGAGUAACCACAACACUUAUCAUGCUUUUAAUGCCUAAUAAUGUUAAAUCCAAAAACUGUAAGGUCAAUAAGAACUUCUUUCCUAUAUAUAUUUAUAUAUAAACCUAUAUAUUAUAAAUAAUGAUAUUUUCUUUUCUCUUGUUUUAGCUGAAAAGACAAAAAGGGCCUUUCGGAAAUGGAUGAAGGAGACAGAAAGCUGCAAAGGCAAAUAAUUGCAAUGAAGGAAAUCCUACGGUUAUGUAUGAACUCACAACAUCAUCAUCAAGUGCUGUGCUGGGCACAUUGGGUAACAAGUGUCCUCCAACGUAUCCAAUCUGUGACCACAUUCUCCACAUCUUCCCAUGGGACACCGACAUUCUUCAGGCCUUCGUUUCCAUGUCUUCCCCUGCAUUCUCCUGGUGGUGUCCACUUCAUAUCCGUCUUUGGGUGUUGUUGUUUGGUCAUGCUUAGGAUGUGUCCAGGGAGGUGCACCCUUCACUCUGUCACAGUUUUUAAAAGUCUUCACGUGGACUCCUCCUUAUGAUCUCCUUGAAACGUGCAGAACCAAUAUUGAAAAUAGUCAUUUAUCUUUUUCCAUAUUCUUGCCUUUAUCAAAGAAGCACCAGUGCUCAUCUGGAGUUUUGGUAAAAGACAUAUUCAUUGCCAUCCACUAGUUCUAGUAAUGCUGUGACUAUAGUCAAAUAUGUAUUUCUGCAUGUGUGUAUAGCAGGUGUUUGUCCGAACAAUUGAAGUUAGUGAGAGUGUUCAGGAAAACCCUCUGAGAACAAUCAAUAUUAUUUAAUUCUGUUUGGUGCUGAUGUAGAGUAUUACAGAAAUGACACAUUGACAUUCUGGACAUUAUUCUGUGAGUUUGUUACCUCUACAUUUAGAUGGACUUGAAAAUGUCUUGCAUUUUGUUUCAUUAAACCUUUUAUUACAGUGUCACUAUAGUAAAUGUCCACCUUAACUACAUCUAUGGUAUCAUUAUAUCAGUACCUGGAUAAUGUAAAUGUAACAUACCCAUGAAUGUAUUUUAUAGAAGCAUUUUAUUGCUGAAAAUAUUUAACAUUUAUAAAAUGCAUUAACUAUU